rnacentral:rRNA from 1 species
GUGGGGAAUAUUGGACAAUGGGCGAAAGCCUGAUCCAGCCAUGCAGCGUGUGUGAAGAAGGUCUUCGGAUUGUAAAGCACUUUAAGUUGGGAGGAAGGGCAGUAAGUUAAUACCUUGCUGUUUUGACGUUACCGACAGAAUAAGCACCGGCUAACUUCGUGCCAGCAGCCGCGGUAAUACGAAGGGUGCAAGCGUUAAUCGGAAUUACUGGGCGUAAAGCGCGCGUAGGUGGUUUUGUAAGUUGGAGGUGAAAUCCCCGGGCUCAACCUGGGAACUGCCUCCAAAACUGCAUGACUAGAGUACGGUAGAGGGUAGUGGAAUUUCCUGUGUAGCGGUGAAAUGCGUAGAUAUAGGAAGGAACACCAGUGGCGAAGGCGACUACCUGGACUGAUACUGACACUGAGGUGCGAAAGCGUGGGGAGCAAACAGGAUUAGAAACCCGAGUAGUCC